rnacentral:rRNA from 1 species
CAACCUGCCCUUCAGAGGGGGACAACAGUUGGAAACGACUGCUAAUACCGCAUACGAUCCAAUCUCGGCAUCGAGACUGGAUGAAAGGUGGCCUCUAUUUAUAAGCUAUCACUGAAGGAGGGGGUUGCGUCUGAUUAGCUAGUUGGAGGGGUAACGGCCCACCAAGGCGAUGAUCAGUAGCCGGUCUGAGAGGAUGAACGGCCACAUUGGGACUGAGACACGGCCCAG